GCAUCGGUGGUUCAUUGGUAGGGUUCCCGCCUGUCAAGUGGGCGACCUGAGUUCGAAUCCUGGUCAAUGCA
rnacentral:tRNA from 1 species